AGAGUUUGAUCAUGGCUCAGGAUGAACGCUGGCGGCGUGCCUAACACAUGCAAGUCGAGCGAUCUUCUUCGGAAGAGAGCGGCGGACGGGUGAGUAACGCGUGGGUAACCUGCCUCAUACACAUGGAUAACAUACCGAAAGGUAUGCUAAUACAAGAUGAUAUAAGAGAUUCGCAUGAAUUUCUUAUCAAAGCUCCGGCGGUAUGAGAUGGACCCGCGUCUGAUUAGCUAGUUGGUAAGGUAACGGCUUACCAAGGCAACGAUCAGUAGCCGACCUGAGAGGGUGAUCGGCCACAUUGGAACUGAGACACGGUCCAAACUCCUACGGGAGGCAGCAGUGGGGAAUAUUGCACAAUGGGCGAAAGCCUGAUGCAGCAACGCCGCGUGAGCGAUGAAGGCCUUCGGGUCGUAAAGCUCUGUCCUCAAGGAAGAUAAUGACGGUACUUGAGGAGGAAGCCCCGGCUAACUACGUGCCAGCAGCCGCGGUAAUACGUAGGGGGCUAGCGUUAUCCGGAUUUACUGGGCGUAAAGGGUGCGUAGGUGGUUUCUUAAGUCAGGAGUGAAAGGCUACGGCUUAACCGUAGUAAGCUCUUGAAACUGGGAAACUUGAGUGCAGGAGAGGAAAGUGGAAUUCCUAGUGUAGCGGUGAAAUGCGUAGAUAUUAGGAGGAACACCAGUAGCGAAGGCGGCUUUCUGGACUGUAACUGACACUGAGGCACGAAAGCGUGGGGAGCAAACAGGAUUAGAUACCCUGGUAGUCCACGCCGUAAACGAUGAGUACUAGUGUCGGGGGUUACCCCCCUCGGUGCCGCAGCUAACGCAUUAAGUACUCCGCCUGGGGAGUACGCUCGCAAGAGUGAAACUCAAAUGAAUUGACGG
rnacentral:rRNA from 1 species